CAAUAUAUGAGACCGGCGCACGGGUGCGUAACGCGUAUGCAACCUACCUUUUACAGGGGAAUAGCCCAGAGAAAUUUGGAUUAAUGCCCCAUGGUAUAUUUUAGUGGCAUCACUAGAUUAUUAAAGUUCCAACGGUAAAAGAUGGGCAUGCGUCCUAUUAGCUAGAUGGUAAGGUAACGGCUUACCAUGGCUACGAUAGGUAGGGGUCCUGAGAGGGAGAUCCCCCACACUGGUACUGAGACACGGACCAGACUCCUACGGGAGGCAGCAGUGAGGAAUAUUGGACAAUGGGCGCAAGCCUGAUCCAGCCAUGCCGCGUGCAGGAAGACGCAUCUAUGGUGUGUAAACUGCUUUUGUACGGGAAGAAACACCUCUACGUGUAGAGGCUUGACGGUACCGUAAGAAUAAGGAUCGGCUAACUCCGUGCCAGCAGCCGCGGUAAUACGGAGGAUCCAAGCGUUAUCCGGAAUCAUUGGGUUUAAAGGGUCCGUAGGCGGUUUGGUAAGUCAGUGGUGAAAGCCCUUCGCUCAACGGAGGAACGGCCAUUGAUACUGCCAGACUUGAAUUACUGGGAAGUAACUAGAAUAUGUAGUGUAGCGGUGAAAUGCUUAGAUAUUACAUGGAAUACCAAUUGCGAAGGCAGGUUACUACCGGUGGAUUGACGCUGAUGGACGAAAGCGUGNGGAGCGAACAGGAUUAGAUACCCUGGUAGUCCACGCCNUAAACGAUGGAUACUAGCUGUUGGGAGCA
rnacentral:rRNA from 1 species